rnacentral:rRNA from 1 species
UACGUAGGUGGCGAGCGUUAUCCGGAAUUAUUGGGCGUAAAGCGCGCGCAGGCGGUUCCUUAAGUCUGAUGUGAAAGCCCACGGCUCAACCGUGGAGGGUCAUUGGAAACUGGGGAACUUGAGUGCAGAAGAGAAGAGCGGAAUUCCACGUGUAGCGGUGAAAUGCGUAGAGAUGUGGAGGAACACCAGUGGCGAAGGCGAUCACCUGGGGUUGUUCUGACGCUGAGGAGCGAAAGCUAGGGGGAGCAAACGGG